rnacentral:rRNA from 1 species
GAUGAACGCUGGCGGCGUGCCUAAUACAUGCAAGUCGAGCGAACGGACGAGGGGCUUGCUCCUCUGACGUUAGCGGCGGACGGGUGAGUAACACGUGGAUAACCUACCUAUAAGACUGGGAUAACUUCGGGAAACCGGAGCUAAUACCGGAUAAUAUAUUGAACCGCAUGGUUCAAUAGUGAAAGACGGUUUUGCUGUCACUUAUAGAUGGAUCCGCGCCGCAUUAGCUAGUUGGUAAGGUAACGGCUCACCAAGGCAACGAUGCGUAGCCGACCUGAGAGGGUGAUCGGCCACACUGGAACUGAGACACGGUCCAGACUCCUACGGGAGGCAGCAGUAGGGAAUCUUCCGCAAUGGGCGAAAGCCUGACGGAGCAACGCCGCGUGAGUGAUGAAGGUCUUCGGAUCGUAAAACUCUGUUAUUAGGGAAGAACAAAUGUGUAAGUAACUAUGCACGUCUUGACGGUACCUAAUCAGAAAGCCACGGCUAACUACGUG